UACGGAGGGUGCAAGCGUUAUCCGGAUUCACUGGGUUUAAAGGGUGCGUAGGCGGGUAGGUAAGUCCGUGGUGAAAUCUCUGAGCUUAACUCAGAAACUGCCGUGGAUACUAUUUGCCUUGAAUAUUGUGGAGGUGAGCGGAAUAUGUCAUGUAGCGGUGAAAUGCUUAGAUAUGACAUAGAACGCCAAUUGCGAAGGCAGCUCACUACACAAUGAUUGACGCUGAGGCACGAAAGCGUGGGGAUCAAACAGG
rnacentral:rRNA from 1 species